AUUGAACGCUGGCGGCAGGCCUAACACAUGCAAGUCGAGCGGAUGAAGGGAGCUUGCUCCUGGAUUCAGCGGCGGACGGGUGAGUAAUGCCUAGGAAUCUGCCUGGUAGUGGGGGAUAACGUCCGGAAACGGGCGCUAAUACCGCAUACGUCCUGAGGGGGAAAGUGGGGGAUCUUCGGACCUCACGCUAUCAGAUGAGCCUAGGUCGGAUUAGCUAGUUGGUGGGGUAAAGGCCUACCAAGGCGACGAUCCGUAACUGGUCUGAGAGGAUGAUCAGUCACACUGGAACUGAGACACGGUCCAGACUCCUACGGGAGGCAGCAGUGGGGAAUAUUGGACAAUGGGCGAAAGCCUGAUCCAGCCAUGCCGCGUGUGUGAAGAAGGUCUUCGGAUUGUAAAGCACUUUAAGUUGGGAGGAAGGGCAGUAAGUUAAUACCUUGCUGUUUUGACGUUACCAACAGAAUAAGCACUGGCUAACUUCGUG
rnacentral:rRNA from 1 species